AGAGUUUGAUCCUGGCUCAGGAUGAACGCUAGCGGCAGGCUUAACACAUGCAAGUCGAGGGGCAGCGGGGAGGAAGCUUGCUUUCUCCGCCGGCGACCGGCGCACGGGUGAGUAACACGUAUGCAACCUGCCCCUGUCAGGGGGACAACCCGCCGAAAGGCGGGCUAAACCCGCGUACAUGCCACCGGGGCAUCCCGGAGGCAGGAAAGGCUUCGGCCGGACAGGGAUGGGCAUGCGGCGCAUUAGGCAGUAGGCGGGGUAACGGCCCACCUAACCGACGAUGCGUAGGGGUUCUGAGAGGAAGGUCCCCCACACUGGUACUGAGACACGGACCAGACUCCUACGGGAGGCAGCAGUGAGGAAUAUUGGUCAAUGGUCGGGAGACUGAACCAGCCAAGCCGCGUGAGGGAGGAAGGUACAGAGUAUCGUAAACCCCUUUUGUCAGGGAACAAAGGCGGGGACGUGUCCCCGGAUGAGUGUACCUGAAGAAAAAGCAUCGGCUAACUCCGUGCCAGCAGCCGCGGUAAUACGGAGGAUGCGAGCGUUAUCCGGAUUUAUUGGGUUUAAAGGGUGCGCAGGCGGUCUGUUAAGUCAGCGGUCAAAGCCCGGGGCUCAACCCCGGCCCGCCGUUGAAACUGGCAGUCUCGAGUUGGAGAGAAGUAUGCGGAAUGCGCGGUGUAGCGGUGAAAUGCAUAGAUAUCGCGCAGAACUCCGAUUGCGAAGGCAGCAUGCCGGCUCCACACUGACGCUGAGGCACGAAAGCGUGGGUAUCGAACAGGAUUAGAUACCCUGGUAGUCCACGCAGUAAACGAUGAAUGCUGGCUGUCCGGGGGGAUUGACCCCUGGGUGGCGAAGCGAAAGCGAUAAGCAUUCCACCUGGGGAGUACGCCGGCAACGGUGAAACUCAAAGGAAUUGGCGGGGGCCCGCACAAGCGGAGGAACAUGUGGUUUAAUUCGAUGAUACGCGAGGAACCUUACCCGGGCUCAAACGGGGAGUGACUCAGGCAGAGACGCCUGUUUCCCACGGGACACUCCCCGAGGUGCUGCAUGGUUGUCGUCAGCUCGUGCCGUGAGGUGUCGGCUUAAGUGCCAUAACGAGCGCAACCCCCGCGUGCAGUUGCUAACAGAUAACGCUGAGGACUCUGCACGGACUGCCGGCGCAAGCCGCGAGGAAGGCGGGGAUGACGUCAAAUCAGCACGGCCCUUACGUCCGGGGCGACACACGUGUUACAAUGGGUGGUACAGCGGGAAGCCAGGCGGCGACGCCGAGCGGAACCCGAAAUCCACUCUCAGUUCGGAUCGGAGUCUGCAACCCGACUCCGUGAAGCUGGAUUCGCUAGUAAUCGCGCAUCAGCCAUGGCGCGGUGAAUACGUUCCCGGGCCUUGCACACACCGCCCGUCA
rnacentral:rRNA from 1 species